UACGGAGGGUGCGAGCGUUGUCCGGAAUCACUGGGCGUAAAGGGCGCGUAGGCGGCUCAUGAAGGCUGUGGUGAAAGUCCGGGGCUCAACCUCGGAUCGGCCGUGGCGACUCGUGGGCUGGAGCACUGUAGAGGCUAAUGGAAUUCCGGGUGUAGCGGUGGAAUGCGUAGAGAUCCGGAAGAACACCGGUGGCGAAGGCGGUUAGCUGGGCAGUUGCUGACACUGAGGCGCGACGAGCGUGGGGAGCAAACAGG
rnacentral:rRNA from 1 species